UGUGUAACAAUAAUAUCAUACAUUCUGAUAUUUUGUGAUGUCAUCCAUCACUACUUCAUAUGUCAGAAUUUUUAUGGUGCCAUUGCUAUAGCAUAUUGAUGUCUCAUGCAUUCAUUAUUAUGUCAUGAUGAUGUCAUGUUUGUGAAAUCAUACAUCAUUCUACUUCAUACUUUGCAUCAUCAACAAUGGUUAGAACAACAGCCUGAAGGAUUUAAACACGAAUUUUAAAUUAUGAUCCCAAAAUGCUCUAUCCCUAUGGCAAUUUUGAUCCAGGAUGGAGCAAUGUUACCUACAGGAAGUGACUUUGCAAAAUUUGGUGCCAAUAGAUCAAAUAGUGUGGGAUCUUAAGUCGAGCAAGCAGAUAGAAAAACAUGACCAAAUGUGCCCUUCUAUUUGAGGUAAAUUUGAUUUUUAUGCUCUUUAUUGCCUGCAGGAUCAUAAGAAGUCAUUCUGCAAAGUUUGGUCUUGAUAAGUCAAAUGAUGUGGGACCUAUGCAGAAUAGACAGAUAUAAAGCACAAGCAAAUGAGCCCCAUCCCCUUGGGCUAUUUCAGUUUUAUCCUAUGUUACCUACAGGAUCAUGGGAAGUUGCCCAACAAAGUUUGGUCAUGAUAGGUCAAACAGUGUGGGAGCUUAUGUGGGACAGAAAGAAAAAAAUAUAUAUAAAGACAUUGCAUUUUAUAUAUAUAUAUUAGCCAAUGAAUAGGAAGUGGUAUUAAAAAAUAAUUGCUUUUUUCUUUUAGAAAUUUGGACAUAUGAAUAUAAUGUAUAUAUUUCACUUUUGUUUUAUCUAAUAUUUUUGCUUACAUAAAAUGUUAGCAGGC
rnacentral:lncRNA from 1 species